AUUUGCAGGUUUAUGGUGCAGAAAGUUAGAAGAAGAAAAAUGCAAAUAGCUAUGAUUUGCAGGAUAAGCAGAAUGUCAUGGACAAUGUAACUCUUAUUAACUGAAGUGAAGGAAGAUCUGAUGUGCAGCCCUAUCCAUCCUGUCCUCACUGCCACUCUUUAAAUCAGUUUAUGGAAGGCAAUCAGUAAUCAGUCUCCUAACACUGAGUUGAAAUAUGUCCCUUUGAAUCUGCAGCUCAUCUAUUCUCCACUGGCAGAAGAAUUCUUUGAGUCCCUAUAUCACUCCCAGGGUGGAGGAACAGAGGACGGGAGAUAAUUGAUGCAAACAAAAAUUGAAGCAGGGGGU